rnacentral:lncRNA from 1 species
GGACAAAAACCUAUCCUUUCAACCGACGCGGAAGAAGAUAAAAGUUUAGCAGGGUAUUUUCUCCGAGCAAUGAAAGAGAACCAUUUGUUUGAUGUGCUUGAUGCUCAAGUUCUUAAGGAAGCCAAGGAAGAAGAGAUUAUUACCGUUGCUAUGCUUGCAAAAAGAUGCUUGAACUUGAAUGGGAGGAAGAGACCUACUAUGAAAGAAGUAACAUUUGAAUUGGGGGGGAUUAGAGCUCAAAAGUGUGAAGACAUUCAUCUUGUGGGUGGCAAUUUUGAAACUGGUUCAUCUUCAACUGGAGCAUUUUAAAUGCUGUUGCUUUUUCUGUAGAUGCUAAUCCUUUGCUUUCAAACAAGUGGUGAUUAAAGGGAAGAAUUUUCCUUUAAAAUCUAAGUAUUUCAUUUCAUAAAUAAAUAAAGCUGUGGAUUUUUGCAUUAUGCUUCUCUUAUGGUUAAAAUUUUUCAUCUCUAGAAUAAAAUAUACAGAGUUUGAUGUCCGGUUUGUAAGAGGAGAAAUAAAUUUAGAAGGUAGAUUCCAACAAAGCAUCUGUGGCAAACAUAUUUAAAUAUCUAAGAAGCAAGCUUCUAAUGCUACCAAUAUUUAGGGGCCCUGUGCUUGAAGAAACAGAACUUUGAAGCUGACAGAGUGAGGCAUCUCAGCAUCUGAAUCUGCAUACAAGUGGAACAGGAGAUGCCGACAUCACAUCCUAGGUGGAACUUAUGUGACACAUACAAUGAAUCCAGUUCGUUCCUAAUUCAUACGCUUACAUUGUAACCCCGUUCUGUGUGUUUCGAGUACCAUUGGUGAACCAUCACUUCGUGCCAUUGUAUUGCUAAUAGCACCUUUGCCUUGAUUGAUUUUGCUGACAAUAUAUAGGUUGUGUUUGGAAGUGAAGUACUAUAACUUUUAUGUUACGUUUGCUUCCCGAAUUAGGGAAUCGGAAUCAUUAACAACGUUUACCUCGCAAAAUAGAUUUAGGAAUCAGAAUCGGAAUCGUGAGACCCACCACAAUUUGGGAAUGAGCAAUGGGACACUCAUUCCUAGGGGAGGUGGGAAUGAGUCUCCCAUUUUUGGGAUUGACUGUUUUACCCUCUCCCAAAAUUAAAAAUGUUCAUAUUGUCCUCAUUUAUAAUUAAUUAAUAUAUUAUUAUAAUUAAUUAAUAAAUUAAUAUAUUGUUAACAAUAAUUAUUAAUAAUUUUAGUAUUUAAUAAAUAAUGACAAUAAUUAAUAUAUUAUUAUUAUAAUUAAUUAAUUAUUAUAAUUGUUACUAUUAUUAAUAUAUUAAUAUAUUAUUAACAACAAUUAUUAAUAAUUUAAUUUUUGAUAAAUAAUCACAAUAAUUAAUAUACUUGUAUUAUAAUUAAUUAAUUAGUAUACUAUUAUAAUAAUUACUAAUAUAAUUAUUUUAAUUAAUUCAUAUAUAUUAUUAAUUAAUUUAUAUAACUAUUACUAUUAAUUAAUAUGUUAGUAUAUUAUUAACAAUGAUAUAUUAAUAAUUAUAGUUUUGAAUAAAUAAUUACAAUAAUUAAUAUAUUUUUAUAAUAAUAGUUAAUAUAAUUAUUAUAAUUAGUUAAAAAAUUUACAAUUAAUUAAUAUAUUAAUAUAUUCUUGACAAUAAUUAAUAAUAAUAAUAAUUUUUGAAUAAAUAAUCACUAUAAUUAAAAUAUAAAAUAAUAAUUAUGACAAUAAUUCAUUAAGUACUUUUUAGUAAUUUGUUACAAUCUAACUCAUUCUGAUUUCAAUUCCAAGAUUAAAUAAACACAUCAGUGGGAUUCUAGCCCAUCCUUAUUCUGAUUUAUGUAGGUCAACUAAACAAUUUAUUCUAAUUUUUAUUCCUCAUUCCGAUUCCAGCCCAUUCCAAUUACUAACAAGUAAAUGCAGCAUUAAGAUACAGAUGCUGUGGAGUAAAAGUCAUAGCUGUGGGAUAAAAGCUGCUAGUGUUUAGCAAAUUUUAAUAGUUGUAGAGUAGAAGCUGAUGGUGUUUGGUAAAUUUUAAUAGUUGUAUAGUGAAAGUUGAUGAAUAUUUGUAAUAAUUAAUUUUAAAUAACAUUAUUUUUAAUUAUUAAUUAGUCAAAUUAUUUUUCAUAUUUUGAAUUAUCAUAUUAAAUUAUGAUUAUGUUUAUUACUUUGACAAAUCAAAUUAAUAUUUAAUUAAUCAAAGUUAUUUUUCUUCACAAGUUGUAAUAAAUAUUUUUUUAAACAAAAUAAUUUAAAAUAUGAAAAUAAAUAAAUUCUAAUUUUACACAUUGAUUGAAGAAAUAAAUUAUACCAAAUAUGUCUAAUAAAGAUCAUACAACAUAACAUUAUCUACACAACUUAAAAGUGAUUUUUAACCUGCACGUAUAAGAGUGUCUUGUUGUAUUAUAGCUCGGUGAGUCCAAGGUCGAUUCACAGAGAAAAGAUUUAAUUUGUUUAUUUUAUUUUAUCUAAAAAUGGAAAUAAAAUUUAAAUAUAAACAACUUAAUUUAAAUCAAAUUAUGAAAUUGAAUUAGUUAGGGUUAUGGAUCCACUCUUAGUAGUAAAUAAAAUUUAAUAAAUUCUUUUUACUAUUUUUUAGAUUUAUUACCCAAAAGAUUAAUUAUACAAAUUAUUAUUAUUUUCCUAUUAAUUUUAUUAUGGAUUAAGUAUUUAUUGUGCCAAAAUUUAAUUUUUCUACAAUAAAUCAAAAUACCAUUUUAUCAUACCUUAUAUUAAGAUAUUAAGAAUUUAUUGUGCCAAACUCCCUUGUUUGUCUACAAUAAAUCAAAAUUUCAAAAUAUAAAAUAUGUAUAAAAUUAAAUAGAAAAUAAUUUAAUUUAUUAAAUUAAAAAUAAAUUUUGAUUAAAUCAUAUUUAUUUCCUAAGAGUUUCACCUUACCCUAACUAUUAUUAUUUAGUUAAGUAUAAUUGAAAUAAAAGUAAUUACUAAAAUUAAAUUAAACAUAAUUAAAAUGAAUAAAAAACUAAAAUUGAAAAUAAAACUAAAUUUAUUUAUAAAAAUAAUUAAGUAAAAUAUUAAAAACACACCUAAAAACAAGAUUACAAGGAGAUUGAGAGAAAUUGAGAAGACGAGAGAUGAUAAAAAACAUAAAAAAUGAGGCUCUAUUUAUAGAAAAAUAAAUUCAUGAUCCAGUGUCUUGCGGUUGCCAUACGCGAAUCCGGUUUUCCAAAUUGAUAAUCCGGUUAUCCGAAUAUUGACCCGAGAGCAACCAAAGAAAAUGCGGCUCACCGAUUUGGACAAUCCGGUUAUCCGGAAUUUGUCCCAAGAGAAAUCAAUAAGAAAAACGGUUUUCCAGAUGAGAAGAAGUGGUAUACCGGUUUAGACUUGGAAAUCUUUUUGUCUCUAAUUGGGCAAGCUCUUAUACUUGUAUUACACACACCAUUUUAUUUUUGGCCUUUUAAAAUUGAUUAAUUUUAAAUCAUUUUGAGAUUUAAAACCUUUCAAUAAGCCAUUUAAUGCAUGAAAUAUAAAAUCAUAAAAUUACAAGCAUAUCAAGCUAUCUAAUUCAUGAAGCAUAAAUUCAUAUAAUAACAAACAUAUCAAGCCAUGUAGUAAAACAUAAAUCAAGAUGCAACAUUCAUCAUUCCAACAAACAUUAAACAACAAACAUGAAACAUCUUACUUAAAAUAUGCAACAACGAACAUAAAAUAUGAGUACCUCGGUAACAGUGAACAUACAACGUCAAACAUGAAAUGUAGAACAGCAAACAUGAAACGUGGAACGUAAACAUGAAACAGGGGCAAAAAAGAAAAAAUUUGGGGUAUUUGAAAAAUUAUUACAUGAAACAUUAAACAACAAACAUGAAACAUCUUACUUAAAAUAUGCAACAGCGAACAUAAAAUAUGAGUACCUCGGUAACAGUGAACACACAACGUCAAACAUGAAAUGUAGAAUAGCAAACAUGAAACGUGGAACGUAAACAUGAAACGGGGGCAAAAAAGAAAAAAUUUGGGGUAUUUGAAAAAUUAUUACAUGAAACAUUAAACAACAAAUAUGAAACAUCUUACUUAAAAUAUGCAACAUCCAACAUAAAAUAUGAGUACCUCGGUAACAGUAAACACACAACGUCAAACAUGAAACGUAGAACAGCAAACAUGAAACGUGGAACGUAAACAUGAAACGGGGGCAAAAAAGAAAAAAUUUGGGGUAUUUGAAAAAUUAUUACAUGAAACAUUAAACAACAAACAUGAAACAUCUUACUUAAAAUAUGCAACAGCGAACAUAAAAUAUGAGUACCUCGGUAACAGUGAACAUACAACAUCAAACAUGAAACGUAGAACAGUAAACAUGAAACAUGGAACGUAAACAUGAAACGGGGGCAAAAAAGAAAAAAUUUGGGGUAUUUGAAAAAUUAUUACAUGAAAUAUUAAACAACAAACAUGAAACAUCUUACUUAAAUUUUGCAACCGCGAACAUAAAAUAUGACUACGUCUGUAACAGUAAACUUACAACAUCAAACAUGAAACGUAAAACAACAAACAUGAAACGUAGAACGUAAACAUGAAACAGGGGCAAGAAAGAAAAAUUUUGGGGUAUUUGAAAAAUUAUUACAUGAAACAUUGAACAACAAACAUGAAACAUCUUACUUAAAUUUUGCAACCGCGAACAUAAAAUAUGACUAUGUCUGUAAUAGUAAACUUACAACAUCAAACAUGAAACGUUGAACAACAAACAUGAAAUGUUGAACGUAAACAUGAAACGGGGGCAAGAAAGAAAAAUUUUGGAGUAUUUGAAAAAUUAUUACAUGAAACAUAAAACAUAAAAUAUGCAACUUGAAACGUUAAAUAUGAGACAUAUUUCAUAGAAAAUAAAUUAAACGUUUGUCCUUAUGUUAACACACAUUUUACUUUAUUUUUUAAAUUAUUUUUAAUAAAAAAUAUUUUUUUUCUAUUUUUACUUUACUUAUCCUUUUUUAUUUAUUAUUAUUAUUAUUUUUUAAAUUUAUUUAUUAUUUAUAUUUUAUAUUUUAAUUUAUUUAAAAAAAAUACAUAUUAAUGGCAGCAACCGGCUGGAAAACCGGUCGCUGCCAGUCAUAAAAGUUGUUUGGCUGCCAGAUGGCAGCCAAACAACUAGGGGGUCAACAAAUUGACCCUUUCUAUGAUACAGGGACUUUGAGUCCCUGUAUCAUAGCCGUGUCCCUACUUAAGACCCUCCUAGCAGUUUUAAAAAAAAUUUCCCAGCGAAGAAUAGAAGUGAUGGCAGCUGCUCUGUCUUGCGACCCAUCGCAAUGGGAAUUUAGCUGGUUUUAAUUCUCUCUCUUAGCUGUUUCUGUUUCUUUAAUUUAACAUUGUGAUAUAUAUUUAUUAUGCUAGAGGUUCAACUAAGUCUCCAUUUACUGGGACUUUUCUCAUCUUGGGAAAUGUUAAUUUUGCCUUAUUUAUUCAAUAUUGUUAUCUUCCUCUGUCAAUAAAUUUUAUGCUUCGGUUGGUUAUUCAAUGUGGGUUUGUUCCAUUUUGUUCUUACGCUGUUUGUAUAAAUAUUAAAGGUUUGUUUUUUAAAAUGGCUUUCAGUCAAUUGCCUUCAAAGCUUUAUUUCCUAAAAGAGGAAAGAAAAAUAUACCAAAAUGUUUAAUUUCUACUGCUAUAUGUUUGCGUUUUUAGCUUCUGCUAUGCUUUGUAUUGUGUUGUUUGUGUUGGUAUUAAUGCUAGAAAGAUGUUUUCUUCUCAAAUCUGAUUGCUUAGAAUGAAUAUGAGGUGGUUAUUGAGUUGCAAUAUAUCGAAUAAAUUGAAGACGUCUGCUUCAUAGGUUUUGAUUCUAUUAAUUGUUUUCAUUUCAAGCAUGACACAAUUGCAUGGGUGUUCGAGGAGGCUAACGGUGAUUUCUUAGGGUUGAAGCUAUAACUUUCUUUUAUUAUUGUCUAGUAUCAAAACUUGAAAACAAAGUUUAAAGAUAAUGCUUAUGAUACAAACACAAAUGAUUGGAAAGGUAACUUGAACAAAAUAUAAGGAAAUCAAUAAGAAUAGGUUAAUUCGAGGAACUCUAAACCUUCAAAAUAAUAUUGGUUAUUUGAGAAACCAAUAAACUCGCAAAAUUUAAUUUACAAGUUGCGAAAAUAAUAGUACUCAAGACACUCUUUUAUUGAAUAACAUCAAGCUUUAAAUAGAGCUUUACUUCAAAGUUACAAGAAUAAAAAUAAGCAAGCAUUAAGCAUGUUCUCCAUCAUUCUCCAUGAAUCCACAAAAUAAGGAACCAACUAACAACUUGAUUUUGACUUAUUAAAAACCAGCUACACUUAAAAUAUAAAGUAAAUAAUUAAAACCAAUAUUAAAAUAGAAAGAUUGUAACAGCUUUUCUAAUUUUCUGUUAUUGUGUUUACUUUAAUCAAUGGGCCGUGGCACAUAUUGUUAAAUUGUGGAUCGGAUAGUUUACUGGACACGUGAACUAAUUUGUAAUUUAGUUAUAAGUUGUGUGAACCAUAAAAAAAUAAAGUCAGUGGUACUAUUAUCAGAAUGUUGGAUAGUUCUGAAAGAUUUUUGAAUAAGCUGGCAUUGAGGAUAAUAUACUAUUGGAAGUUGAGGAACAGGACAGAGCAUCUGUAAUUCCUCUGUUGUUUACGAGUUAUCUAUUUUUAUCCCAUGACAGUGUAGUGCUCUUUGUCCACCUUUCAGAAAGUUUUUAGAGGAACUGUACCUGAAAUGUUUUGUUGUUUCUUAGAAAAUGGUUUUUCCCAUGCAGUGACUUUGAAGUGGAUUACGAGUCCAAUGAGAAUGCAUCAAUUGUGUAUGCAGCAUUAGCUAUUGAUAAGGAGGUGAUCCACCACGAUCCUAUUCCCAAGAUCAUACUUUGCUCCUUUAACUUUAUUGCUUGUUCAAUAAAUUCUUACUUGAAUUCAAUUUCCAAGUGCAGUUGCAACCAGACAAAUUGAAAAGGCAGAUAUCUGUGAUUAAUGGGAAACUUUUAGUGUAAGUUUCUAUUCUUUGGUCAUUCUUAUAACUGAUUUUUCAUUCUUGUCCAAUAUUUAUUCAAUUUGCAUCUAUCAGUUUAUCCUAUGAGACAAUAUUCAUUUGGAACUUUUGUGUGGCCCGUUCAAUAAUCAUUUUUCCCCUUUUCCUGAAAAAUUUUCAAAUAUGUUACUUCAGAAGAGUUCUUCCUCUAAGAUUCCAUUGUUCUUUAGUAUAUCAACUUUGCUUGGACUUUGCAGUUUACAAGUUUCUACAUUUUGUUUAUUUUCUCAUCUGAUUCAGGCACUUUGAGGCAGUUGAGGCCAGGUUUCUUCGUGCAUCAUUUUCUGCUUUUGUAGAUGUGCUUACACUUGCGACAAAAACAAUCGAACAGUUUGGUCAUGGAACGGAAUUGUAACAUCAUACUAUCUUUGGCAGUUGGAGAAUCAUUCUUAGUAGGAACUGUAUUACUUUAAUUCGCCAUCUUGUUUCGGAUUAGUUGACGUGUUUGUAACAAGAGAAUCUAUAGUGUUCGUUUUAUAAUGUAAACCUUCAAAUUAUCGGAAAGCUGAAAUCUUCAAAGCUGUGAAUUAUAAUUUUUUUUUUUCAAUCAUUGGGUUUUAGCAAGAGGUUGCAGCUGUAAAUGUUAUAAUCCUCCCUUUGACCUUUUCAAUAAAGUUAUUGGCAAGCUAUCUCCAACUCUUUCAGUUUGGGCCUAACUAGAUUGCCAGACCUCACUUCUAGGGCUUUUCUGUUUACCCUCAAAACAGUUCAAUCUGAUGUUGAUUUCGUAAAGUGAGUAGAAUGAAGAAUUCAUUAGUGCUAAUAUUCUUCCAGCCAUUGAUGCAAUUCUUUACCAUUGUGUGACGCAGGAGGUACCUACUUGGCUACCAAGUGGCCCUCAGCUUAACGUGCCUCGAUAGCCUUCAAGCUUUUAGAAUUCAUCUAGCUGGUGGAAUCCUAUCUGGCGUCUCUCUAUAAGUUCGAAAAUCAAGAUUUUUCUAUAGCAAGCGUCAAGGGGUUUCUUGUCACCCAAAAGGAACCCAGAAAAGAUAAAAUCGUAGACAGCACUGUUUCACAUGCUGGAAUUCUCGGGAGGGUGCUUAUCAUGUGCUUGUGGCUAUAAAUAUGCUCGAAAAAAAUUGGAAAUUGAUGCUGCAAUCCCUCUGCCUGAAUCCUCAAAGAAAAAAAAAAUGCCCUUUUAUAGCAUUGCUAAGAUGAAAGAUUACAGACUUAGCAACGCUGACAUUGAGCAACAAUUUUCUGCAUACACUUUAUCUUGGGCAGAAUCACCAAAAGUCGAUGCAUCUUUAAAUUUAGAAUAAAAGCAGAUUCGACUUGUAUUAUAAGAAAUUCAAAUGGGGUGUCACGGCUGCUUCCAUCUCUAGGAAAACUUGCUUAGAAAAAAUGCUGAAUGCUUUGGCAAUUCUUGAUGGCAUCAAAAUGGCAGUUGACUCUGGACUGCACCCACCACUAACUUGAAUCUGACUAUUUUAAUGCAGUGAAAUCAAUCUUAAAGAAGAGACUUCGGAUGGAUGAUCAAAGGAAUGCUCGGUUAUGUAAGAAAAGGAAAACAAUUUAUAGUUGCAAUACACUCAUCAAUAAUCUCAGGAACCUCUGAUGAUUGAAUUACAAGCAUACCUGUUCAUGCAAGAUAUUCGAUGCUCUGCAUCCGAAACUUCGUCGACCUUUGCAUCUAAGAGAUCAUUAACCUUACAAGUCACAGAACCCAAAUGGUCCACAGUAUUCACAACAGCUUUGCUGGCAUGAUCUUUCAAUGUUUCCACCACUCUGCGUAAAUGUGAAGAUGGUUUGUUUUCUCAAUAGAAAAUUGAAAUUAUCAGCAGUAAUUAGAGCAACUUACAUUUGUUUUUGGUCAUCACUGGUGUACCUUAGUUCAAGAUAUUCGGCCGCCGAGUAUAACUGUGUUCUCAGGUUUUUCAAAUCCUGAAGGUAAAGUCGCUUGAGUUAAAAAAAAGACCAAAGUAAAUAUUUCCAUAAGAACUUAAAUCUAUUACAAAUUGGUGCUUUUGUAUUUCCAUAAGCGGCUAUCUACUCCAAGGCUAGUUGAAAACUGAGUAAAAUUUGGAAAUUGACACACGAUCCACCGUUUAAAUCAUAUAAACAAGUAUCGCACGAUUAAACAAGAAUUGGCCUUGAAGACGUAUGCCUCUAUUUGCCACAAUCAUUUUUUUUUUCUUUUUCUUUUUCUUAAAAGUGAAUGCUGAGGUGGGUGCAACUUUUAGUAAUAGCUAUUAGUAGCAUAAAACAAAGAUUGCACGCUCUAAAACAAUUGUAAUAGGGAAACUGGUACAGGCAUAUAGUCCAACAGAUUAAAACAAAAUAUAGAAAUAGUAUUACCUUGAGACAAUCAGAGAACAGCAAGCUCUGCUGCCCUUUUCUUAAAAGUGAUUGAUUAUGAUGAAACAUUCAGCCUUGUAAUUAAGCCUGCUCCGGUUUGUUUUGUGUUUGGCAUUAUUACAAGAUGGUAGUUGCGACAACUUGAUGUGAGCAAUGCCUUUUUACAUGGGCACCUAUCAAAGGAGGUAUUUAUGUCUCAGCUACCUGGUUUUAUUGAUCCCACAUAUCCCUACUCAUGUUUGCAAACUUGAAAAGGCACUCUCUGGCCUUAAGCAAGCCCCACGUUCUUGGAACAACACCGAGCUUCGAAACUUUCUUCUAUUGACGGGGAUUUUUCACUUCACUAUCAGAUUCUUCUUUAUGUUUCUAAUCUCAUGCUGGCGUGCAUGGGAUUAUCCUUGUGGGUAAAUAAACUUUCAUCUAUUGCCACAAUGUAGCUAGGCACUAAUUAUCUUCGUGCCAAUCCUGUAUAUCACUCUCGCAUGAAACACAUGGCCAUUUGUCUUUCACCUUGUUCAUCUCAAGACCAAUUCAGUCACCAAACCUCUCUCUCAUCAUCACGAAUAAGUUUUCUUCGUUCCAACAUCGGUGUCGCCAAUGGUAGUACCAUCUUACAGGGACAUAUUAGAGAUACUCUUAAAGUCACGGUGUAGUUGUACAAUCCUUUUAUUAUUUGUAUAUUUGACUUUCAUAACUUUAGACUACAAUUGUGCACUUACUAUAUUAACUAGCUUUAGUUGUGUAUAUAUUGAAAUCAUAUCAAUAAAAACAGCAAGCUGCGUUGUUAUUUCCUUUCUCUAUAUUAUUUAUUGUAUAAACCUAACAUCUUUCAGCCCUUCGGGCGCACCCCCCCAAAAUCUCACGGUUACUCUUUUUUUUUUCUUAUAAAUUUAUUUACCCACACCUGUCCCGUUUGUCUCACCUAUUUUUUUUUUUAAUUUUCAAUUAUUUCGUUAGCCAGGCCACACUUUUAUAAACUUUGUCCUGGGCCCGCACUCUACUUUUGUGUUUUUUGCCCAAAUAAGCCGGACUAGCAUCACCCAUGUAAUUAUCUUUUCAGACCCCUUUCUGGUAUAUCACAGAAGCCCAAUAACAAAUACAUCCGCAAAAUAUCUAACAAAGAUAUUUCAACAAGCUGGUCGCGCACUGGGACGGGGAAUGGCUCUGUUCCUAAGAAUGAAUUGACGUCCUGUCCAGUGUCCCCCCUUGGCCCUUGCCUCCUCAUCACAGAGAUGAAAAUUGAAAUUAGGCCAAUUAGAUUAAAGGCGAGACGGAAUGGAAAUAUGGAACCGUUAGUUAUUAUACACAUGACCCCUCUAAUUAAUGGCCCUUUGCCUUUCAAUAUUAUUGUAGGUAUUUGCAAGGAAACCUCCUCUUAUAUUUCUUCCAAUUAAGACUUCUUGUGUCCAAUUACUGUCGAUUCUUUUUGAACGUGUAAAGGACAGCAACUUGAAGACUUGAGAGGGCCAGCAUUUAUUCAAAGUCAAGUACCGGGACUGGGAAUGGCCCUGUUCCCGAAGUAUGAACUGACGUCCCGUCCAGUGUCCCCUUGCCUACUCAUCAUACAAACAAAAAUUGAAAUUAGGCCAUUUAGAUUAAAGAUAAGACGAAAUGGAAAUAUGGGAUCGUUAAUUAUUAUAGCUAUGACCCAUCUAAUUUGUAAAUGGUUCUUUCCCUUUCAAUUUUUAUUGUACGGAUUUGCAAGGAAACCUCCUCUAUCUUUCUUGCAAUCAAGACUUUUGCGUAUCCAAUUACUGUCAACUGUUUUUGAACGUGUAGAAGAAAACAACUAGAAGACUUGAGAGAGGGCCGCGUUAAUUCAAAGUCAAGACUAGCUUAUUAGCUUGCAGGAUUCUUGAUGAUGAGGGGAAAAAAGGGUUGACAGAUGCUGGUAUAAUGUUUAUAAAACUUUAAUUAUUUCAUAAAAUUAUUUUAUUUUUUAUUCGCCAUCACGUUUGAGAUUCCCCCCCCCCCCCCCCCAUGGCCCAUUUUAUUUUCAUUUUUAUUUUUAUGUAGGUCGGUAGUGUUACUGGAAAUCAACUACUGCCUCUUUUUUCAUAUGGAGAAUUAAACAAAACUCACCAAUGACCUAAAAUAGGACAUGGCUACGGUACAGAGGCUGCAAGUAACAGCUUCGAACUUUCCCAUUUCCAUCACCUUGCAUUGGGACCUCUUUCUCUCUUCUCUAGCACCCGUGGAAGUUCUCCAUUGGCUGCUGUUACUUACAGAAGCCGUAACUUAGAUUUGUCCCCUAAAAUAAAUAUAUAAUGAAUAUUUAUUAACAAAUUCUAGACAAAAUUAAUUUUUCAACCGAUUGAAACUUCCAAAAACUCAAAUUUCGAAUUUUAUAUAAGUAUAAUCUAUUUUAAGUAUCAUUAUUAAAUCCUCCUCUAUAGCACAUUAGCAAAUAUGCAACUUUUCUAGCUUAAAAUCUAGGUUCAAAUCUUGCCAGCAGAGUUAAUUUUCGUUAUUUUUUAAGUCAUAGUUAAUUUUGUUAUAUAAUUUCGAUCACAGAUAAUUUUGAAAAUAUUACGAGUAAUUGUGUUAUUCACUCAAACCUUAGAGACUAAAGGAACAUUUACCAAAGAUUAAAAAAAAUUAUUUUAAAGCUACAUUUUGUUUCAUCCAAAUGAAGCUAUUCAAUCUAUAUUUUAUUCCAAUAAAACUAUGGCUUCGUUUCAUAUCUUAAUUAAAUUAUAUAAUGAUGAAACAUUAUAUUCUGAACUUAACUGAAUCCAAUAUCGUUUCACCAAUCGGUCAUAUGAGAUGAAGAAAAAAUCUUUUGAAAUUAAUUUUAAAUUAAAGUUGAAGAAUGGCGAUAUGAUACAUACACAUAUAUGACUCUAAAUUUAUUAAAUUGAAGACGUACUCAUCGUCUUGACGAUGUGACCAAAUACUGGAACGUGAGAAGGGUCUUUGGCCCUUGGAGAAGACUUGAGAGGGCCCGGAGUAAUUAAAAGUCAAGAUUGGCAUGCUGAAAUUAAUCUCUGGCUUUAACUUGCAGCACUUUCGUGUCGGUGAGAGUUUUAUGAGGAGCUAAUACAUGCACUUUCUGAACUAAAGAAAACUGAGUUUAAGCGGCGAAUGGCUGUGCAUCUUUGUCUGGUGUUGUUGCAGAUUAUUGUUUUGCACCUCAGGCCGAUCAAAGCAUCAGAAAGAUUUCCCUGUCCAACUGAAUGUGGAAAUGUCAGCUUCAUCAGCUACCCCUUCGGAAUCGGAAAAGGGUGCUACUUUGACAAGGGUUACGAAGUUAUCUGCGAUCACUCUUCUGGCUCUCACAAAGCUUUUCUUCCUGGCGUCAACAGGCUAGAAUUAUUGGAUAUUUUCUCUUAUUCAAAGUUCGCGGUUAGAGUCAACGUUCCUACAAUUUCUUUAAACAGCAGUAGUAAGCGAACAACCAAUAUUGCUAAAGGCGUCAACUUAUCAGGUACCCCUUUCGCCUUUUCGACUGACAAUAAAUUCGCUGCCAUAGGCUGCAACAUGAGAUAUCACCAAGGGAACGGUUCAUCUGUGUUUGAUGCGUGUCUGUCGAUUUGUACUUGUGAUCCUACUCUCUACCCUGCUUGCUAUGAUUUCCUAUGCCCCCUUCGUCCAAAUAUUACUCAUCUGUUCAAUCUAAAUAUAUCAUACUUGUUUUCUCCAAGUAUUCCUCAGAAUUGUCAGUCUGUUUUCAUGGUUGAAGAACAUCGGGUCAACGGCAAGUACCUUGGAGAUCUUCAUGAUUUGAAAGAUCAACAAGAAGUUCCUGCAGUGUUGAAGUGGGGAGAAAAGAUAGGCAGGUGUUUUGAAGAAUAUAACUCAUAUUCUACCUUUUGUAAUUUGAAUAAAACAGGUUGUUUAAAACAAUUAAGCUCAGGCCAUUUAUUGGAUGGUAAGAUGAUCAGAAAAGAGUUGUAAAAUUUAUCAUCCAAUAGAUGAUUGAAAUUAUUGAGUUUUAAAAUAUCCACCGGAUUACUUGUAAAUGAGUAAAGUUUUCCAAUUACUGUAACUAUCUAUGUAAACAGAGAAUCAGAGACUAAAAAUGGUGGAGUUUUAUUUAGUUGUAGCCAUGAUUUAGUUUGAUCUUCUCUUUGAUUUAUUUUUUUAUUUAUUAUUUCCUGGGCAGGCGACUUGAUCUGUAAUAUCUCAAGCGGCUACAAUUGCUCCAAUUGUCCUGACGGUUAUAAUCGUCUCUCAGAUGGUUGCAUUCAAGUUUUCAACAAAUCUCGGGUUAAAUUCAUUAUUAUAGGUAUGCAUAUCGAUCCUUUAUUUUACAUCAUAACAAAUUAAUAAUGUUUUUUAACAUAUAUUUCAAAUGAAAAUACUAAGUGUUCAUACGUUCAUUUGAUGAUAUCUUUCAUUAUUGUCCUCGAGAGCCGCAGGCUGCGGUGGUGGGCUUGCAUUAUUCUUUCUGCUCAUUGGAAUAUGGUGGUUGUACAAGUUUGUAAAAAGAAGAAGGGAAAUCAAGCUCAAGCAUAAGUUCUUUAAAAAAAAUGGUGGUUUAUUAUUGCAACAAGAAUUGUCUUCCAAUGAAGGUAAUAUUGAGAAAAUGAAGUUAUUUACUUCAAAAGAUUUGGAGACGGCCACCGACAACUACAAUGCCAAUCGGAUCCUUGGUCAAGGAGGCCAAGGUAUUGUAUACAAAGGAAUGUUAGCAGAUGGAGGAAUUGUGGCUAUUAAAAAAUCCAAAAUAUUGGAUGAGAAUAAUCUCGAGCAAUUCAUCAAUGAGGUAGUAAUUUUGUCUCAAAUAAACCACAGAAAUGUUGUUAAGUUGUUGGGAUGUUGCUUGGAGACAGAAGUUCCUCUUUCGGUGUAUGAAUUUAUUCCAAAUGGAAGCCUCGAUCAAUGCAUACACUACCAAUCUGAAGAGUUUCCAAUCACAUGGGAAAUGCGUUUACGCAUUGCUGUUGAAGUUUCAGGUGCUCUAUCUUAUUUGCAUUCAGCUGCAUCUAUUCCUAUUUAUCAUCGAGACAUCAAGUCUGCAAACAUACUUUUGGACAAUAAACAUCGGGCUAAAGUUUCAGAUUUUGGGGCUUCUAGAUCUAUCACAGUUGAUCAAACUCACUUGACCACUCAAGUACAAGGAAGUUUUGGAUAUCUAGAUCCAGAAUACUUUCGAUCAAGUCAUUUUACUGAGAAAAGUGAUGUUUACAGUUUUGGAGUAGUUCUUGUUGAGCUUUUAACUGGACAAAAACCUAUCCGUUCAACUGAAGCUGAAGAAGAUAAAAGUUUAGCAAGAUAUUUUAUCCAAGCAAUGAAAGAGAACCGUCUGUUUGAAGUCCUUGAUGAUCGAGUUCUUAAGGAAGCUGAGAAAGAAGAAAUUAUUACUGUUGCUACACUCGCAAGAAGAUGCUUGAACUUGAAUGGGAAGAAAAGACCUACGAUGAAAGAAGUGGCAUUUGAAUUACGGGGUAUAAGAGAAUCAAUUGGAGCUUCCAUUUUGCAGCAAAAUUGUGAAGAGACUGAUUUUGUGGAUGGUGACAUUACGGGACAUGAUUUCGAAAGGGAUUCAUCUUCUAGUGGGUCAACUUUAAAUAGUGUCUCAGUUUCUGUGGAUGCCGACCCUUUAAUUUCAAACAAAUGGUGACAAAGAGAAGAAUGGCCUUGAAACUGUUUGUAUUUCAUAAAUAAGAUUGUUAGACUUUUCCGAUAUUUUCAUUCUCUUGCAUCGUUACAGUUUCUUUGGGCACCAUCAUUUGUAAUUAAACACUUCCAAGUCAUUUCAAACAAAUUUUCCACUAUUUAAUUGCAUGCGCUGCAUUUUCCUCUUUUUUUUUUUUGGUGGGGGGGGGGGGGGGGGGGGGGGGAAUGGAGGAGAUGAAGGAAAAAUCUGCCUGAAAUUAAUUUCGUAGUUGAAGUUUAUAAAUGCAAGAUGAUAUGAUCUCAGAGUCUAAUAAAUACUGAUGUGUAAGAACUUUAGCACUAUGUGACCUAAUAUCUCUAGUAAAUAGGAGAGAACAACUUGAGCACUUAAAAGAGGGCCAACGAUAAAUAAACUCCAGAGUGGCAUGUCGGAAUAGUUGGCUUAUUGUUAUGCAGGACUUUCCCGGUAGUGAAAUAAAGUCGAAAGGAAGAUGGGAGGAAAUAAAGUUGUUCAAUGCGCUUUCUUGUAUUUCAUGGGUUAAAUAUCUUUUUAUCUGAUUACAAACUGAUAGAUAAAAUACCCUUGUAUCAUUUGUGAGUGAAUCUCUUAGGUCAAAAAUAUAAAGUUAGAACAAUCCUCAACUCUUUAGUUAGAUUUUGAGUAUGGCUUAAACCCAUGAACUUUUAUAUUUUAUUAGAGGUAAACUCACCCACGAUUAUGCCCGCACUACCUCUCACAGUACCUUACCACUAGACGCCCUUCACAUGGAAGCUUGGGUACCACUCGAAAAGUCAUUUGAAAGAAAAGUCUGUUUAAAAUUACGUUCCAAUUCUGUACUCUCAGCUCUCCAAGUUAUAAAUUGAUAUUCAACUAAUGUUAUAAAAGAGUAAUGCUAGAGGAUCUCAAUUUAACUCAUGUUAUAAAAGAGUAAUGCUAGAGGAUCCCAUCUUGGGUACCAAUGGAUGUGGCAUUUAUUCAGUGGAUAGUAGAAUAACACUACAGCCUCGAACUAACAGGACCUCCCCGCUGCUAGCUCUAGCUACCACGUCCCCAAUUUCCCAUCACCACAGCCAAAAAUUAUACUAAAGGAGUUUCAGUUGGGGAGGGAACCAGUAGGUCUAUUCUUUUUUCUUAUUUUCUAUUUUUCUUCUAUAUUUCUUUUGUUUUUAUUUUCGUCUCUGCUUCUGUUAUUGUGCUUGUUUUUAUGUUUUGUUGUUUUCUAAGAUUUUAUACUGCUCCUGCGGUGGUUCUGGUGCUCUCUAAAUAGAUGGUGUUGUUUCAAUGUCCAAAUCGAGAUUGUAUCAGUGUUCGGAUUGGAACGGUAUGCCUAUAUUGAAGCUGUUGAGGGCUUUAAUAGUGGUACAUCAAGGUUCUAAUAACCUAAGGCGAGGUUCUGAUGGCCUAGGUCAAGGGCUCAUUGAGAGGCUUUCUAGUGAAUCGUAAGGUUGGCUUUUUUGUUGCAUUUUGUGGUUUUUUUAUUGUUGUUUGUUUGCAUUCUGUUGUUAGAAUUGUAUUUUCUUGUGUUCUGUUGUAUUAUCAAACACGAGGGGCAUUUCAGCUGUAAUAGCUAAGAUUGGUUCCUCUAGUUUUUCUUUAGAUUUUAGUUUGCGAAACAAUUUAGUCUCCUUUGAUUUUAAAAUUUAUCUUAUGUAUUGUAUUUGAGUCUGAUAUAACUUUUUUUUUUCUUUUAAUCAUUAUUGGCCCUUAAUGAAAGUCAUACUUUCUUUAAAAUAUAUAUAUAUAUAUAUACACGGAGGAGAACAACUUGUAGACUUGAGAGGGCCAGGGUUAAUUAAAAGUCAAGUUGACUUGCAGGACUGUCAUGGUAUUGGGAUAAAAGCUAAAAGGAAGCUAGAAGGGAUUUAAUUAACGAUAAAUGCAUGCAAUUGCUCUGUUAAAUCUUCAUUCUUCCGAGUAAAAAUAUUGAGAAUGGUUGUUCAUCAUUAUCUGGUGUUGUUGCAAUUGAUGAUUUUGCUAUUAUGGCCAAUCAAAGCAUCAAAAGAUUCAUGCCAAUAUGAUUGUGGGAAUGUCACUAUCAGGUACCCCUUCGGAAUCGGAGACGGUUGCUACUUUGAUAAGAGUUUUGAAGUAAUCUGCGAUUACUCUUCUGGCUCCCCAAAAGCUUUUCUUGCGAGCAUCAACAAACUGCAAGUAUUGAGCAAUCAUCCUUACGGUGUUGAUGAUGAUGGUUCUUAUGUUGAAUCCAUCAUCAGGGUAAACAUUCCUGUAAUUUCUUUGAAGAGCAGUAACCUGACAAGCAAUGCUAAAGGGGCCAGUCUAUCAGGUAGGCCUUUUACAUUUUCCCGGUGGGGCAAUAGAUUCACUGCCAUAGGUUGCAAAAACUAUUCUACGAUUAUUAAGCGACAGAAUGAUUCAUCCGUUUUUGGUGGGUGCCUUUCGAUUAGCACUUGUGAUCCUGCUCUUAACCCUGGUUGCUACGAUUUCCUAUGCGCUCUUCCUCAAAAUAUUACUCCGGUUUUCAAUGCAGAUAUAUCUAAUUUUUAUUCUAAAAGUAUUCUUCAGGAAUGUCACUCUGUUUCCAUUGUUGAAGAAGAUUGGAUCAACUCAAAGUACCUGAAGAAUCCUUACGUUUUGAAAGAUCACGGACAAGUUCCUGCACUGCUGGAGUGGGCGGACCUUAGAGGAUAUUGUAAUGAAGAAUAUAAUUCGAAAACUACUUGUAACAAGGACAAUAGAUGCUUAAUACAAUUAAGCUCAGGCUACCUUUGCCUUUGCUAUAGCUUUUGGGAAACAAGCUUUGACCGACACCACCAUGGAUAUUGCUCAGGUACAAUUUCGAAUACUAAUUAAAUUAAUUUCAUAUAUGAAGUGUAAUUACUGUAUUUCCUCGAACCAACUACGGAUCUAACACAAAAUUAUAGACGGUAAUUGCAGAAUUUGCAUUUGUAAAGAAGGCAAGAUUUAUGUAUAGCCGUGAUUUAAUUUGAUAUUCUAUAUCAUUUUUUGGGUUCGUUUAGGUUACUUGCUCUGUAAUACCACAAGCCACUACAAUUGCUCAUCGGGAUGUCCCAAAGGUUACUCUUCAACUUCGGGAAGUGGAGUCUGCGAUAAUGAUGGCCAACGGGCCCAAGACCUUAGUAUGCACAAAAAUUCUCAUGUCAAAUUCAUUAUUAUAGGUAUGUAUUGGAAUUUGCAGAUUUUAUCGACAAAAUAACUUACGGCAUAUAUAUAUAUAUAGGCUCACAAACGUAACAGAUUAAACAGUUCCUUGCCAUAAAUCACCUCGAACGUGCAUUAAAUAUUCUUGGCCUGGAGUGUUGCAGGUUGCAAUAGUGGGCUUGGAAUGUUGCUCCUACUAAUCGGAACAUGGUGGUUAUACAAGUUCGUUAAAAGAAGAAGAGAAAUCAAGCUCAAGCAGAAGUUCUUUGAAAGAAAUGGUGGUUUAUUAUUACAACAACAGUCCUCAUCAAAUGAAGGUAAUACUGAGAAAACAAAAUUGUUUACUUCAAUGGAAUUAGAAAUGGCUACGGACAACUUCAAUACCAAUCGAAUCCUUGGUCAAGGAGGCCAGGGCACAGUUUACAAAGGAAUGUUGACAGAUGGAAGAAUUGCGGCUGUGAAAAAGUCGAAAUUAGUGGAUGAGAGUAAUAUUGAGCAAUUCAUCAAUGAGGUGGUAAUUUUAACUCAAAUUAAUCACAGAAAUGUUGUUAAAUUGUUCGGAUGCUGCUUGGAGACAGAGGUUCCUCUUUUGGUGUAUGAAUUUAUUCCAAAUGGAACUCUCUAUCAAUAUAUACAUGAAACUGAGGAGUUCUCAAUCACAUGGGAAAUGCGUUUACGCAUUGCUGUAGAAGUUUCAAGUGCUCUAUCCUAUUUGCAUUCAACUACUUCUAUUCCAAUUUAUCAUCGAGACAUCAAGUCUGCAAAUAUACUAUUGGAUGAUAAAUUUCGAGCAAAAGUUUCAGAUUUUGGGGCUUCUAGAUCUGUCACGAUUGAUCAAACUCAUUUGACCACACGAGUACUAGGAACUUUUGGAUAUCUAGAUCCAGAGUACUUUCGGUCAAGUCAAUUUACAGAGAAAAGUGAUGUUUACAGUUUUGGAGUUGUCCUUGUUGAGCUUUUAAGUGGACAAAAACCUAUUCGUUCAACCGAAGCUGAAGAAGAUAAAAGUUUAGCAGGGUAUUUUCUCCUAGCAAUGAAAGAGAACCGUUUGUUUGAUGUGCUUGAUACUCAAGUUCUUAGGGAAGCCAAGGAAGAAGAGAUUAUUACCGUUGGCAUGCUUGCAAAAAGAUGCUUGAAUUUGAAUGGGACGAAGAGACCUACUAUGAAAGAAGUCGCAUUUGAAUUAGGGGGGAUUAGAGCUCAAAAGUGUGAAGACAUUGAUCUUGUGGGUGGCAAUUUUGAAAC